rnacentral:rRNA from 1 species
UUGACGGGGGCCCGCACAAGCGGUGGAGCAUGUGGUUUAAUUCGAUGAUACGCGAGGAACCUUACCUGGGCUCAAAUGUAUGUUGACGUAUUCUGAAAGGGAUACUUCUUCGGACAAUAUACAAGGUGCUGCAUGGUUGUCGUCAGCUCGUGCCGUGAGGUGUCGGGUUAAGUCCCAUAACGAGCGCAACCCCUAUCAUUAGUUGCCAUCAGGUCAAGCUGGGGACUCUAAUGAAACUGCCUACGCAAGUAGUGAGGAAGGUGGGGAUGACGUCAAAUCAGCACGGCCCUUACGUCCAGGGCUACACACGUGCUACAAUGGCCGGUACAGAGCGCAGCGAGGCCGCGAGGCGGAGCGAAUCGCUUAAAGCCGGUCCCAGUACGGAUUGGAGUCUGCAACCCGACUCCAUGAAGUUGGAAUCGCUAGUAAUCGCGCAUCAGCAUGGCGCGGUGAAUACGUUCCCGGGCCUU